UGUACGAGGCUGCUAUAUUGGGUAAAGUUGAUAAUCCAAACCCACUCCUCUCUCUCUCUCUCAUCUCUCUGUGUGAACCCUAAAAACCUCCUCCCCUCACCUUCAGAUUCCGAUUUAGUUCCUGGGGAUUUAGCUUCACGCCCAAAAAUAUGCCAAUCCUUAUACAUAGUCACAACCAUAGCCAUAGCAGAUUGUUCACUUGGUUUUCUCGAUACUUAUUGGGUUCAAUGGAGGAGAGAAGAAAAGCAGAUCUCAUUCUGUAUUUUUAUCGGUUAGAUCCUUAAGGCCUUAGGGUAUCUGGGUCAUUAUGUAGCCACAAAUACCUGAAGGUUUUGCUGAGCCCCGAAUUCAGAUGGAAUGGAUAACAGAGAUCAAGUGAAGCCAAGGAAGAUGGAUCUCCUCCUUCCUUCACAUCCACCGGCGCCUCCAGGUUAGCAUUCGACCCGGCCCAAUUUCACAGUGAUUCAUAUCCUAGGCUGACUGGGCCGAAUGCCGUAUUGGUAUAUCCUGGGCUGGGCUCGGCCUGGCCCGAUUCCGAUUUGUUCAUAAAUUUACCCUUGUUUCUUACAGUUUGUUACGAACUUCACCAUUCUUCUUCCUUUAAAACCCGACGAGCGGAGGCACUCUUGGCACUCCCAUUUUUAUCUUACUGCUUGUAAUCUUUGCAUACCCUCAUUUCCUAUCCUCAUCCAUGGCCAACAACAACCCCCGUUCAUUCCCAACCCAUACGGAGAUAAUCCUCCAUAUGUUCCAAAUCAGAACUUUAUCGUUGAGCCAAACGAUCCGAACCCACCUGUCCUACUGAAUCCCAAUGGUAAUUUUUCCCGGGUAAUUGAAAACCCUUAUUACAAUGCCCGAUUCCGAUUUGUUUAUAAAUUUACCCUUGUUUCUUACAGUUUUUUACGAACUUCACCAUUCUUCUUCCUUUAAAACCCGACGAGCGGAGGCACUCUCGGCACUCCCAUCUUUUAUCUUACUGCUUGUAAUCUUUGCAUACCUUCAUUUCCUAUCCUCAUCCAUGGCCAACAAAAAUCCCCCCUUCAUUCCCAACCCAUACGGAGAUUAUCCUCCCUAUGUUCCAAAUCAAAACUAUAUCGUUGACCCAAAGAUCCGAACCCACCUGUCAUACUGAAUCCCAAUGGUAAUUUUCCCCGGGUAAUUGAAAACCCAUAUUACAAUGCUAAUCCCGAGCAGAUUCAGCCUGCACACUUUGAGCCCCGUGAGAGAGAGAGGAGGCUCAUGGGAAGGGAACCGAUGAAGGGCCCUUAACAAGCCCAGAAACACCCCUCGGGAAGCGGGGGAAUACGGUUCUGGUGUGGCUGGGGGGCUUGUGGAGUGGCCGGGUGGUGGCGGUUUAGAUCCCGUGGUGGUGUCUGUUUUAAUCUCUUGGUGGUGUCUUUUAAUCGUUCUUAAUUUCUGUUGUGUAUUUUGUUGUAAUGUAUUGUUGGAAUGUGGGAUCUAUAUAAUAAAAUUUCAUGUUGGGCUUGUGGAGUGGCCGGGUGGUGGCGGUUUAGAUCCCGUGGUGGUGUCUGUUUUAAUCUCUUGGUGGUCUCUUAAUCGUUCUUAAUUUCUGUUGUGUAUUUUGUUGUAAUGUAUUGUUGGGAAUGUGGGAUCUAUAUAAUAAAAUUUCAUGUUGUUGUAA